AGAUGGGCAUGCGUGACAUUAGCUAGUUGGUGAGGUAACGGCUCACCAAGGCGACGAUGUCUAGGGGUCCUGAGAGGGUUAUCCCCCACACUGGUACUGAGACACGGACCAGACUCCUACGGGAGGCAGCAGUAAGGAAUAUUGGUCAAUGGGCGCAAGCCUGAACCAGCCAUGCCGCGUGCAGGAAGACGGCCCUAUGGGUUGUAAACUGCUUUUGUCAGGGAAUAAACCUGUCUACGUGUAGGCAGCUGAAGGUACCUGAAGAAUAAGCAUCGGCUAACUCCGUGCCAGCAGCCGCGGUAAUACGGAGGAUGCAAGCGUUAUCCGGAUUCAUUGGGUUUAAAGGGUGCGCAGGCGGAUUGAUAAGUCAGGGGUGAAAUCCCACAGCUCAACUGUGGAACUGCCCUUGAUACUGUUAGUCUAGAGUAUAGUUGAAGUUGGCGGAAUGUGUCAUGUAGCGGUGAAAUGCUUAGAUAUGACACAGAACACCGAUCGCGAAGGCAGCUAGCUAAGCUAUAACUGACGCUCAUGCACGAAAGCGUGGGGAUCAAACAGGAUUAGAUACCCUGGUAGUCCACGCUGUAAACGAUGAUUACUCGAUGUUGGCGAUACACAGUCAGCGUCUAAGGGAAACCAAUAA
rnacentral:rRNA from 1 species